CGAAUUGAUAUUAUCUUUCGAAUAACUCAAAUUAAGAUCUUCAUGUUCUUUGCUCAAAGGCAAAAUGACAAUCUCAAACAGCAUUUUAGUAAUUAGUCUGCUCGUGUGCAUGUCUCUGAAGCUUCAAGUGCAAUGUGCUGAGUUUAGUAGAGGAUUGAGAAAUGCCACAACAACCAUUGAUGAACUGAGUAUUAGAAGAUCACACUGUCCUGCUGAUUUUGUCUUUGGCGGAGCCACUUCGGCUGCUCAAGUGCAUAUCAUAAAUACUCAACGUUCAUAACUCAAACGUAAAAUUUGGUAACAAGGGUAGAUUUUUUUUUUUUUAAUAUGUGGAUGCAGAUCGAAGGAGCUGCUAAUGAAGGAGAGAAGGGACCAAGCAUCUAGGACUACUUUGUCAGAAAAUUCCCAGAGAGGAUCCUGGACACAAGUACCAAUAGUUGCGCUCUCAAUCAUUAUCGGCGAUACAAGGAGGACAUAAAACUUAAGGAUCUUGGUGUGGAUAGCUACCGAUUUUGCCUUUCCUGGACCAGGAUUUUACCCACUAAGUUUCCUAGUCCAACUGUUAUGAUUGAAGUUUUUUUUCUUAUUUUUCUUCGUACAGAGGGUUCAUUUUGUGGAGGAAUAAACCAAGAGGGCACCGAUCGCUGUACCAAUUUGAUUGAUGAAUUGCUCAAAAGCGAUAAGAAGCAAUAAUUUUUAAGGGCUAUGAUCUAGGCAUUAAACCUUUUGCCCCAAGUCUUGCAAGAGAAGUAUGGAGGACCCUUGAACCACUCAUUCAUAGAUGACUAUAAGGACUAUGCUGAACUGUGCUUCAAAAUAUAUGGAGAUAGAGUGAAGCAUUGGUUUACAAUAAAUGAGCCAUUCACGGUUGCUGCAGCAGGGCAUGGUCUUGGUGCAGCUGCACCAGGAAGAUGUUCAUCUGGCCCUUUUGAAUGCCAUGCUGGUAACUCAUCCACCGAACCUUAUAUUGUAGGCCACAACAUUCUCCUUGCUCAUGCUGCUGCUGUCAAGCUCUACAGAGACAAGUUUCAGCAAAACAAGAAGGAGAAAUCGGAAUCUGUCAUGCUGGACAGUAUGCUGAGCCUUAUUUAGAAUCACAGGAGGAUAAAGCGGCUAAAAGAGCAAUGGACUUCAGCCUUGGAUGGUUUAUGGAGCCACUGGUAUUAGGAGAUUAUACAAAAAGCAUGAGAAGUUUGGUCAAAGGAUAGGCUGCCCUAUUUCACCCAAGAAAAGAAUUUGGUUAAAGGGUCCUUUGAUUUUAUUGGAAUCAAUUACUAUGCUUCAAGAUAUGUUAGAAGUGCCCGCCCUAUCCAAAAGCACCACCACACUGCAUGACUGACAGUUUAACUGAAGAACAAGUGGAGGAGAAUGGAGUUCCUAUUGGCCCUCAUGUAAGAAGUUACAUGCACAAAUUGCAAAACUCCGAAUCCGAUAAUAAAGAAAGCAAACUUUUCUGUUAUUAACAAACAGUCUUGUUUCCUCUUUACUCUGUGGGCGGAAGGAAGCAUGUUCAUAGAUAUCUAUCCGAUGGGGCUAGAAAAGCUAUUGAAUUUCAUGAAGGACAAGUAUAAUAGUCCUGAAUAAAGAAAAAAGAGAAGCUCUCUCAUGCAAUCUGUUCAGUCUAUGGAUAUACAAUAUAUAUACAAGAGUAUCGUAUCUCUAAACUAUCAUAUCUACAGGAUCUGAGAUUACGAGAAUCAAAUAGCACGAGAUCACGGAUGCUGAUAUAUUGUCUUCCAAUAUAGCGUAACUCACGCCAAAACUAACGUGCAUGCAUGAUUUGCAUGAUAAUGGGACACGUCAUUCUUUCAUUCUUUCUUUACUGAAAUCUACAUUUCUGAAAAUGGAAUCACUGGGGCAAACGCAGAGAAUGUUGAACUGGAAGAAGCUCUGGGGGAUGCACACAGAAUCAGCAACAUUCUUAGGCAUCUAUAUAGGAUUCACAAUGCAAUCAGGUAAGGAUCUGGUCUCCUUCCAAUAUUCUCUCUCGAGUCUGGAAAAAGUGUUGUGGUUUGGGUUUUUGUGUGUAAAUUUGGGCAGGAAUGGAGUGAAGGUGAAGGGAUACAUGUACUGGACUGUGUUUGAUGACUUUGAAUGGGGAGAAGGUUAUGUUCCAAGAUACGGACUUUACUGUAUAGAUUUCCAGAACGAUCUUAAGCGCAUUCCCAAACUCCCAGUACAGUGGUACCGCAACUUCCUAACAGGAUCACAUCCUCAGUCUUAUUCCAUCCAACUUUGUUUCCAUUAGGGCAUGAAUUUGUGUAUGCAUGCUUAAGUUAAGUGGAAAGGCAAGGCUAGUGGCAGAUCCCAUGUCUUAAAGAAAAUA